rnacentral:lncRNA from 1 species
AAUUCUCAAUCUGAUCGUCCGAUUGUUGUAAACUUCUACCAUUAGUGUCUUUAUAAGCCUUCUAAAUGCUUAAGAAGUUUCAAUCCAAUCUAACUUAUAGAUUGCAAGAAAAUACCAUAAAUCCACACUGAUGUAUCUUGAUCGCCGCCUAAAAGUCCUUGACUUAUGAUGCCAAGAGUUACCUUAUUCCAGCUACUAGAACUCCAAAUAUUAUAGAAUCCCUAAACAACCCCUAUCUGCUAACUUUCGAUACCUCUUUACACUAAUGGUCAAAUAUCCUCUAUCUGUUUCGUCAGAUUAAUACAAACUUUUACAUGCACUCGGCAUACUCAAUCUUCUAGACACCUCUAAAUUUCAACUGCAGAAGUUUUUCCAAUUUCACAAAACAAUCAAGAGUACCAACCUUAACUUUAUUGCAAAAAAAUCCAAAUCACUAAUACAAAUACUAACUUUCAGCAACGAUUGUAAAAGUUCCUCCAAACCAUAUGAAAAAUCC